CCGGUAAAAUGGGGCGAUUAGGGAUUGACAGGCGAAUCGGGAAAAAACCGGGAAAAUCUUUCGACGCUCAAUAUAAGUUUUAUAUUCGUUGCAAAAUCUUCCAUUUUUUGUAGUUUAAUAGUAGAAUGUUGAAAGUUCACAAAACAACUCUGAAUAUGCAUGAUAUUAGCUGCUAACUUAUAAAAAAUCGCGUUUCAAAUUAACUUCCUGUGGUGGUCAUUAUUUUAGUGCUAGAAACUUUGCUCUCUUUUAUUUAUUUGAUAAUAAUAGAAGACGACUAUGAUUUAUAAACGUUAUUUAGUGUUUGAACCAUCAUGUAUAUUAAAGGUAAGUCUCAGUUGUUAUUGGUUUUAAUGUAUUUGAUUAAAUAAAAAUACAUGUAAAAAUCUGUUGGUUUUGGGGUUAUUGGGGACGUCUUAGGUACAAAUAACAACGAAAAAGGGGUCAAUUGGGAUGAGAAUACGUGAAAUGGAAACGACCUAAGUAUAAAUAGGUACAGGUUUGUAGGGUUGUCUAUGUAGUUAUAACAAUAUUUUUUAAAUUUGUGGGUAAAUAUCUGGUUUAUUCGAAGCGAAAUUGGGAAUAAGUCUUUAUUUGAAAUAGAUAAGCAAUUUAAUAUAAGUAAGUCGAUUUUGCAGAGACAUGUAACAAGAUCAAUGAAAUCUCAAGGUGGACAAAAAUGUCUAAGUAAUACAUAAUAAAAUAUUUAAUAUUUGUUCAGAGUGGAGGUAUUCAUCUGAUUAAUCCAUGGAAUAACCGACACACCUAAUCUCUUAACCCAGAUAGAAAUAUCAGCACUGUCGAUUGCACCUAUAAUUGAGGUGAUGUCUGCCAUGUACUUUUGUCAGUUUUUCAAUUUUUUUUAUUGAUGAUCACUUUGUUGGUGCAACUAAAUAAAUAAAUAAAUUAAAACUAUAUAUAAAAAUAAAAGUAGUGCCAACCCUAGCAAAUUUCUCAUUUCGUCCCAAUUAACCGCAAUUUUCGGGUAAAUAGGGAUUACACCUAUUUUUGCAUUUUUUGCUUAAACUGGAAUGCUAGUUGCAUAAUUUUAAAUUAGACAACAAAGAUGCCCCCAAGACUCAAUCAUUUUGAUCCUGAUAUAGCAUUAUAUACAUCAACAACUACCUUAAAAUUGCUCAUAAAGUUGGAAUUUGUCCCUAAUCGCCCCAUUUUACGGUACUUUUUAUUCGGCGGGAAAUUAAAUCACCACAACUGUCAUUAAGAAAGUAUACCAGAAUGAAUAAUUCUACUUGGUUUACCUAUAUCGACAAAUUGAUGCACUGGCAUGCUGGUACAUGGAUCAAGAAUAAUACUAAAGCUUCGCAGUUUGUUUUAAGAAUCCACUAUGAUCAACUUUUUAUAACAACGGACGCUCAAAUUCUGGAAAGUUUGAAUAUGCAUGAUAAACUUAAAGGAAUUUAUAAAGACGAUAUUUUAAUUCUUAUUUUAAGCAACAAUCGGCAAGAGGUGAGAAAAAUAAGAUUUCAAAUAAAAGCGAACGCCGCACAUUGUUUUGAGAAGCUCAGCGAAUAUUUUCCAGUUGUAAAUCAUAUUUCAAGCCAAUCUUCGAAAUUUGUGCCUUCAAGGUAUCGUAAGAUAGAAGAAGUAUUUAAAAGUAUUUUUGAAGCAAAUAAAACCAACACAUUACACUCAGAUCAAAAAGAUUUAUUGAACUUACCAGCUUCUUAUAAGGACUUUAUCAAAAUGUGCUUGUUGGAUCCACAUUUCCCUCAAAUUGUUGAUCAAACUGAAAAACUACUUAGAGAAGAAAUUUUGAAAUAAAACUUUUUCAAUGUUUGCCUCGCCGCUACACUUAAUUGGAAUAUAAUCAAUUUAUAGUAUAUAAUAAAUAAAACUGACAAAAGUGUGUUCAUUACUUUGUACUCUUAGAACACUAGAUUAAUGAUCUUAUAAAGUGUGGCGUAGUUUUAGUGUAGGUUGAGGUUAAGUGCUAGAUUGAAAUUAAAUGAGAGUUUUAAUCUCAAUAUUACUAAUAAAUAUAAACUAAACCAAAUAAAA